rnacentral:tRNA from 1 species
UAAGACCUGUAAAGUUCUAAUAUACAUAUUCUGACUGCAACCCAGAUGCUUUAAUUAAGCUAAAGCCUU